rnacentral:lncRNA from 1 species
UCUUGAAUCUUUUUGCAAUCUAUUCAAAUAGGUAUGCAAAAUCUUUUUGAAUUUCUUUCUUGCUUCACUCAUCAAUUGAUUGCGAAUCUGGAAUUUUGAUUUCAAAGCUUACAUACCUUCUAUACUGAAUCUGGAGUCUGGAUUUGAAGCAUAAUCAACCCACCGCGAAUUUCGAUUUGCUUCACAUACCUUCUAUACCUUUAGAUUUGAAGCAUAAUCAACCUAGUAUGAAUCGAGUUCGGGUUUUAUGGAAGAACCGACAUACCCGAUACAUAUAUUAACCAUCAGAUCUGACAAAUGCUUUGAUAUUAACACUGUCCAUGAACCGUAUAAACUCUGACGAUGGUGGAGGUGUUGUGGUGUUGCCGUGUUGGUGCGAAGGUGUUGGUGGAGGUGAUUGUGCGGUGUAAUAGGAUUUAGGAGCUCAUUUUGUUGGUGUCAACUGUCAACCUCACACUUUCACAAUAGAUAUAAUUCAUAUACAUAAACACACACAUACACAUACACAUACAAAUAUGUGUGUGUGAAUCUACUCAAUAAUAAUAAACUAUUUUAGGUUUUUUUACUCUGUCUAAAUACCCCUAAAUUAGCCAAAAUAGGAUUAACCCACAUGUUAAGAAGAAUCAACGUUAAU